UACGGAGGGGGCUAGCGUUGUUCGGAAUUACUGGGCGUAAAGCGCGCGUAGGCGGACCUGCAAGUCGGGGGUGAAAGCCCGAGGCUCAACCUCGGAACUGCCUUCGAUACUGCGGGUCUCGAGUCCGGGAGAGGUGAGUGGAAUUCCUAGUGUAGAGGUGAAAUUCGUAGAUAUUGGGAAGAACACCGGUGGCGAAGGCGGCUCACUGGCUCAUUUCCGACGCUCAGGUGCGACAGCGUGGGGAUCAAACAGG
rnacentral:rRNA from 1 species